UCUAGGAAAGAAAUAUGGGCAGCGGACUGGAACAGGCUAACAGGCUAACGCUUACGCUACGCUAACUUGGCCCCUCCGGAUUGUGGGACAGAGAGCCCCCAUGAGCUGUUCAUGCUGACCCGGCCUGCCUGCUGGGUGGGUGCGUGGGCCAGGUUGAUCAUGUGCACCACGAUCCUGAUCAUCUCGACCCUGUCAGUCAUUCUGCGCAGACGAUUCAACAACCGAGUCAAACCCCAUCCGGACGAGCUGGGGGAGAAAGAGAUGGCAUACGUGCAGAGAGAACUGCAGCCCAUGGAGAAGUGAGGCUCCCCGACCUGUCAGGCAUCAGUUCCAGGUACAUUACUACAGUAAAGUUGGAUGUACGCCAGACCGACAUAGCCUUCUAAAACAUACACCUGUCAUCCUCUUCGGCCUCUAACGGAGUUCACCUGCAGUUUGUGGAGAAAGAGCAUGAGAGAGACACAGGCUUGUUAUGGGAACAGGUUCAGGAAAAAAUCCUCAGGCAGCAGCAGUAUGGAAGGAAAAGGAACAGAUGUGGGUCCAGGAUGUCGAAAGUGUCCUCAGUUCAAUGGCUAGGCAACUGUGUGCUUCCCUGGAUAAAUAUCCUCGCCACGAGCCUGGGGAUGGCUCAAACCACUUCUCCCCUUCCUUCCAUGACUGGUUUCCCUCCCGUCAUCCAGCCCUUACUUACAGACAGCUGUAGGUCCUCUACACCCACAGACUGAAGAGCCAUGGAACAUAUUGCUCGGCAGCUAAAAUGGACAAUGGCAGAACGAAGCCUUCAUUAUUGAUUGAUUUGAAAUGUUUAUUGGUGUGAAUCAUCUAGAACCCACCAUAGGUAGUGCUGCCACAGAGGAGGAGUCAAAGAUAUUCAGUUAUAUACCAGAGCUCAUGAAAAUACAUUUCUACCCUUGUCUGAAUCUCUCCAUUUCAGGGUAUGCAUUGAAAGCAACGAGGAACAAAGGGGAUGCAACCGUUCCAAAGCAUGAUGUGUCCUCAUCUAUGAUAAGUUGCUGUUUGACAUUCUGGAGAGGUGUAAUCAUAUAAAGACACAGAUGUCCUCCAAGAGUCACACUCUAAUAAAGGAUGAUGAUAAGUCAAACAGAGUCCAGAGUUUACAGUCUGACCUUCUCUGGUCCAAGAGGCUAGAGACCAAUUCUUCCCUCACGCAACCCUCCCCUCAAUUAAAUAAACGUGUGAUUUAUCUGA